rnacentral:rRNA from 1 species
CCUACGGGAGGCAGCAGUGGGGAAUAUUGGACAAUGGGCGAAAGCCUGAUCCAGCCAUGCCGCGUGUGUGAAGAAGGUCUUCGGAUUGUAAAGCACUUUAAGUUGGGAGGAAGGGCAGUAAAUUAAUACUUUGCUGUUUUGACGUUACCGACAGAAUAAGCACCGGCUAAUUCUGUGCCAGCAGCCGCGGUAAUA